rnacentral:rRNA from 1 species
UGAGUGAGUGGCGGACGGGUGAGUAACACGUGGGUAACCUGCCCUAAAGUGGGGGAUAACAUUUGGAAACAGAUGCUAAUACCGCAUAAAACCUAACACCGCAUGGUGUAGGGUUGAAAGAUGGUUUCGGCUAUCACUUUAGGAUGGACCCGCGGUGCAUUAGUUAGUUGGUGAGGUAAAGGCUCACCAAGACCGUGAUGCAUAGCCGACCUGAGAGGGUAAUCGGCCACACUGGGACUGAGACACGGCCCAGACUCCUACGGGAGGCAGCAGUAGGGAAUCUUCCACAAUGGACGAAAGUCUGAUGGAGCAACGCCGCGUGAGUGAAGAAGGUUUUCGGAUCGUAAAACUCUGUUGUUGGAGAAGAAUGUAUCUGAUAGUAACUGAUCAGGUAGUGACGGUAUCCAACCA